rnacentral:rRNA from 1 species
GAUGAACGCUGGCGGCGUGCCUAAUACAUGCAAGUCGAGCGAACGGACGAGAAGCUUGCUUCUCUGAUGUUAGCGGCGGACGGGUGAGUAACACGUGGAUAACCUACCUAUAAGACUGGGAUAACUUCGGGAAACAGGAGCUAAUACCGGAUGAUAUUUUGAACCGCAUGGUUCAAAAGUGAAAGACGGUCUUGCUGUCACUUAUAGAUGGAUCCGCGCUGCAUUAGCUAGUUGGUAAGGUAACGGCUUACCAAGGCAACGAUGCAUAGCCGACCUGAGAGGGUGGACGGCCACACGGGAACUGAGACACGGUCCAGACUCCUACGGUAGGCAGCAGUAGGGAAUCUUCCGCAAUGGGCGAAAGCCUGACGGAGCAACGCCGCGGGAGUGAUGAAGGUCUUCGGAUCGUAAAGCGCUGUUAUUAGGGAAGAACAAAUGUGUAAGUAACUGUGCACAUCUUGACGGUACCGAAUCAGAAAGCCACGGCUAACUACGUG